GACGAACGCUGGCGGCGUGCCUAAUACAUGCAAGUCGAGCGAAGUUUUUCUUGUUCUUGCACCGUAAAAACUUAGCGUCGAACGUGUUAGUAACACGUAAAGAACCUUCCUUAUAGACUUGUACAACUAUUGGAAACGAUAUCUAAUACCGUAUAACAUCAUUAACUUCAUUGUUUAUGUUUUAAAGUUUGUUUUUCUAACACUAUGAUAUUGCUUUUCUGUGCAUUAGCUAGUUGGUUGGGUAAAGGCCUACCAAGGCGACGAUGCAUAGCCGACCUGAGAGGGUGAUCGGACAAACUGGGACUGAGACACGGACAAGACUCCUACGGGAGGAAGCAGUAGGGAAUAUUCCGCAAUGGGCGAAAGCCUGACGGAGCAACGCCGCGUGAGUGAAGAAGGAUUUCGGUUCGUAAAGAUCUGUUGUUAGGGAAGAAUGAUUGUGUAGUAAAAAUACACAGUAGAGACGGUACCUAAACAGAAAGCAACGGCUAACUACGUG
rnacentral:rRNA from 1 species